GUCUAUGGCCGUACCACCCUAAACGCGCCUGAUCUCAUCUGAUCUUGGAAGCUAAGUCAGGCCUGGUUAGUACUUCGAUGGGAGAAAAGGCAACUGUAUUGGGGGGAAGGCAGGCUGUUUCAUAUU
rnacentral:rRNA from 1 species